AUUAUACUGUGGGGAGCUCUUGGGGGUUUUCUUCAUUCCACAUAAAGUUUGCAGUGGAGAAACAUCGCUGGAGUUUUUCUAUUAUUAAUCUUCUCCCCCUUUUCAGCCCCACCCAGUAGUGGUGAUCAGUAAGAUGACAAGGAGAGAUCUGGUCAGUCAAGAGCAGAGAGCCAAUCAGAACAGUGGGUGUAUACUGUCAAGGAUUAAAGGAGAUUAAAAGCUCUCUUCAUCCUCCACGCUCUUGCCCUCGUGGCUUGUAGCUUUCUCCAGUGCCCCUCAUGUCUUGUACAAUGUAGAGUCCAAGAAAGCUCGGAAUGCUUAGUUCCGAGGAAACUCUUCUCACGCUCUGCUCUAUGACUCACACACG